rnacentral:lncRNA from 1 species
UAUGCGGCUUUGACGAGGCAGCCUAUGAGCUUGCAAAUUAACCACGCAUAGAUAUAGGCGUAUCCGUCUGCCUCCUCCAACCCAGCUGGGAAGGAGGAUGACAGCCUUGGUUGUGGCCUCCCUCGUGGCGUUAUUCCCUCGGAACAGAUGCCGUUGCUCGAUGCCCGGAAUUUUAUUAAGGGAGGAAGAACGAUUCCGUCCAAGCUGAAUCAAUCACCACAUAACGCUCCACUUGUCGCGAUCCUAACUGCAAGGCUCCAUUAUUUUCUUAUAUCUUAUUGGUUGCCAUCUGCAAACAGUUGAUCGAUUUUAGGCGUCCCCUUGGCACGACAAGAGGACCGCCAAUUGGAAGAAAAUCGAAAGGAGACAAUGGGAAGACGGGGAGACAAACGGGACAAAACGGAAAGGGAAGAUGCGGUCGGGUUGGCUGGCUGCACCUGCACGUAUGCAUCAACACAAGAUCAUGUGGCCGAUCUUGCUGCCCCUGGCGAUCAGAUCAGAUCAUGGGUUCCAACGGUGACCGGCCGCGCCGCACGCUGACCGAGAGGUUCCGUGUGGUGGGAUGGCCCUCUGUGGGAUCCAUGUGCGCAUGUUUGUUUGACUUCACUUUGUGUCUCUUGUCAGAGUACCCACAUCUUCUCG